GACGAACGCUGGCGGCGUGCUUAACACAUGCAAGUCGAACGGAAAGGCCCUGCUUUUGUGGGGUGCUCGAGUGGCGAACGGAUGAGUAACACGUGAGUAACCUGCCCUUGACUUUGGGAUAACUUCAGGAAACUGGGGCUAAUACCGGAUAGGAGCUCCUGCUGCAUUGUGGGGGUUGGAAAGUUUCGGCGGUUGGGGAUGGACUCGCGGCUUGUCAGCUUGUUGGUGGGGUAGUGGCUUACCAAGGCUUUGACGGGUAGCCGGCCUGAGAGGGUGACCGGCCACAUUGGGACUGAGAUACGGCCCAGACUCCUACGGGAGGCAGCAGUGGGGAAUAUUGCACAAUGGGCGGAAGCCUGAUGCAGCAACGCCGCGUGCGGGAUGACGGCCUUCGGGUUGUAAACCGCUUUCGCCUGUGACGAAGCGUGAGUGACGGUAAUGGGUAAAGAAGCACCGGCUAACUACGUG
rnacentral:rRNA from 1 species